UGGGGAAUAUUGGACAAUGGGCGCAAGCCUGAUCCAGCAAUGCCGCGUGUGUGAAGAAGGUUUUCGGAUUGUAAAGCACUUUCAGCGGGGACGAUGAUGACGGUACCCGCAGAAGAAGCCCCGGCUAACUUCGUGCCAGCAGCCGCGGUAAUACGAAGGGGGCAAGCGUUGCUCGGAAUGACUGGGCGUAAAGGGCGCGUAGGCGGUUGACACAGUCAGAUGUGAAAUUCCUGGGCUUAACCUGGGGGCUGCAUUUGAUACGUGGCGACUAGAGUGUGAGAGAGGGUUGUGGAAUUCCCAGUGUAGAGGUGAAAUUCGUAGAUAUUGGGAAGAACACCGGUGGCGAAGGCGGCAACCCUGGCUCCAUGAC
rnacentral:rRNA from 1 species